rnacentral:rRNA from 1 species
GUGCCAGCCGCCGCGGUAAGACGAACCGUGCGAACGUUAUUCGGAAUUACUGGGCGUAAAGGGCGCGUAGGCGGGAUGGCAAGUCGGUCGUGAAAUCCCUCGGCUCAACUGAGGAUCGUCGAUCGAUACUGCCGUUCUUGAGGAUUGCAGAGGAGACUGGAAUUCCCGGUGUAGCGGUGAAAUGUGUAGAGAUCGGGAGGAACACCGGUGGCGAAGGCGGGUCUCUGGGCAAUUCCUGACGCUGAGGCGCGAAAGCGUGGGGAGCAAACGGGAUUAGAUACCCCGGUAGUCCACGCUGUAAACGAUGACGACUAGGUGUGGGGGAGUUCAGUCCCUUCCGUGCCGCAGCUAACGCAUUAAGUCGUCCGCCUGGGGAGUACGGCCGCAAGGUUGAA